rnacentral:rRNA from 1 species
UUGCAGUUAGAACGCUCGUAGUCGGAUUUCGGGGCGGGCCGACCGGUCUGCCGAUGGGUAUGCACUGGUCGGCGCGUCCUUCCUUCCGGAGACCGUGCCUACUCUUAACUGAGCGGGGGCGGGAGACGGAUCGUUUACUUUGAAAAAAUCAGAGUGUUUCAAGCAGGCAGCUCGCUCUUGCAUGGAUUAGCAUGGGAUAAUGAAAUAGGACUUUGGUGCUAUUUUGUUGGUUUCGAUCACCGAAGUAAUGAUUAACAGGGACAGUCAGGGGCACUCGUAUUCCGCCGAGAGAGGUGAAAUUCUCAGACCAGCGGAAGACGAACUACUGCGAAAGCAUUUGCCAGGGAUGUUUUCACUGAUCAAGAACGAAAGUUAGGGGAUCGAAGACGAUCAGAUACCGUCGUAGUCUUAACCAUAAACCAUGCCGACUAGGGAUUUUUCGAUGUUCACUUAUUGACUCGGGAAGCACCUUACGGGAAACUAAAGUCUUUGGGUUCCGGGGGGAGUAUGGUCGCAAGGCUGAAACUUAAAGGAAUUGACGGAAGGGCACCACCAGGUGUGGAGCCUGCGGCUUAAUUUGACUCAACACGGGGAAACUUACCAGGUCCAGACAUUGUGAGGAUUGACAGAUUGAGAGCUCUUUCUUGAU